AAAACAUUGUAUUAAGUUUAAUUUAAUAUAGGAUCUGCUCAAUGAUUUAUUAAAUAGCUGCAGUAUUUUGACUGUGCAAAGGUAGCAUAAUAAUUAGUCUUUUAAUUGAGGACUUGUAUGAAAGAUUUGAUGAGAAAUAAACUUUAUUAUUUAUAUAAUUAAAAUUUUAUUUUUAAGUAAAAAAGCUUAAAUUAUUUAAAGGGACGAUAAGACCCUAUAAAACUUUAUAAAUAUUAAUUUUAAUUUUUUUGGGUAUAAAUUUAUAUAAAUAUAUUAAUUUUAUUAUUUAUUUUAUUGGGGUGAUAAAAAAAAUUAUUAAACUUUUUUUAAAAUUUAACAUUAUUUAAUGAAUUUUUGAAUUAAAAUUUUUAAUUAAAGGAAAAAGUUACUUUAGGGAUAACAGCGUAAUUAAUUUUUUAAGUUCAAAUUUAAAAAUUAGUUUGCGACCUCGAUGUUGAAUUAAGAUUAAUCUUAGGUGCAAAAUUUUAAGUGUUAGGUCUGUU
rnacentral:rRNA from 1 species